AUUGAACGCUGGCGGCAGGCCUAACACAUGCAAGUCGAGCGUGCGGCGGACGGGUGAGUAUUGUCUGGGAAACUGCCUGAUGGAGGGGGUUAACUUCUGGAAACGGUAGCUCAUACCGCAUACCAUCAGAUGUGCCCAGAUGGGUUUAGCUCGUUGGUGGGGUAAUGGAUCACCUAGACGACGAUCCCUAGCUGGUCUGAGAGGAUGACCAGCCACACUGGAACUGAUACACGGUCCAGACGCCUACGGGAGGCAGCAGUGGGGAAUAUUGCACAAUGGGAGCAAGCCUGACGCAGCCAUGCCGCGUGUGUGAAGAAGGCCUUCGGGUUGUAAAGCACUUUCAGCGGGGAGGCGUUACCCGCAGAAGAAGCACCGGCUAACUCCGAGCCAGCAGCCGCGGUAAUAC
rnacentral:rRNA from 1 species